CAGCAGCUCACUGGAUAGACUACAGAGUAAAAUCAAAUAGACUACAAGAACAUUAGAGAUAUUGACUAAAUGUGUCCUGACCACACAAACAUGAGUAUCAAACAACAUAGAGGACAAGGAGAAAUCAUGGUGGAAGCAGAUCUCUCCGCUCCAGCGGGAACUCAUCUUCCUAAAAAGCUUCUCUCGAACAUCGCUCCAUCCAUCUGCUGUCCCAGUACCAGCCCAAGGAGGAUGGGUUCCCCCAACAGCCUGGGUCCUCCCAAGGUUUCUUCCAGCUUCCAGCUGGGAGUUUUUUCUUGCCACCGUUGCCUACGGCUCGCUUUUGGGGGCAUGAGGACGGUGCGAAUUUCUAUUUUAUAGAACACAACAAUCAUAACAGUAAUAAAAACAUACACAAAUGUU